UGGGGAAUAUUGGACAAUGGGCGAAAGCCUGAUCCAGCCAUGCCGCGUGUGUGAAGAAGGUCUUCGGAUUGUAAAGCACUUUAAGUUGGGAGGAAGGGCAGUAAGCGAAUACCUUGCUGUUUUGACGUUACCGACAGAAUAAGCACCGGCUAACUCUGUGCCAGCAGCCGCGGUAAUACAGAGGGUGCAAGCGUUAAUCGGAAUUACUGGGCGUAAAGCGCGCGUAGGUGGUUCGUUAAGUUGAAUGUGAAAGCCCCGGGCUCAACCUGGGAACUGCAUCCAAAACUGGCGAGCUAGAGUAGGGCAGAGGGUGGUGGAAUUUCGUGUGUAGCGGUGAAAUGCGUAGAUAUAGGAAGGAACACCAGUGGCGAAGGCGACCACCUGGGCUCAUACUGACACUGAAGUGCGAAAGCGUGGGGAGCAAACAGG
rnacentral:rRNA from 1 species